ACAGCACAACACAGACGUAUCUCUAGCGCAGUAUAAAUGAAGGACUCUGAGGACUCCAUGCUGGAAAGACAAGCAGAAGUUGCUGUGCCGCCUUCCACUGCUGUGAGCUGUUUCUCCUCUGCCACACUGCCCAGCCUAGGAGCCAGUCAACUAUGAACUGAAACCUGUACACACUGUGAGCUAAAUAAACUCCUCCUCCUUUAA